rnacentral:rRNA from 1 species
AACGAACGCUGGCGGCGUGGAUAAGACAUGCAAGUCGAACGGGACAGACCGAGUAGCAAUAUUUGGAAUGUUCAGUGGCGAACGGGUGCGUAACACGUGGAUAACAUUCCGGAAAGCGGGGAAUAGCCCAGGGAAACUUGGAUUAAUACCGCAUGUGGCCGCAAGGCUAAAGACGGGGACCGCAAGGACUGUCACUUUCCGAUUGGUCCGCGGCCUAUCAGCUAGGUGGCGGGGUAAUGGCCCACCAAGGCUACGACGGGUAGCUGGUCUUAGAGGACGACCAGCCACACUGGAACUGAGACACGGUCCAGACACCUACGGGUGGCAGCAGUCGAGAAUCUUUCACAAUGGGGGCAACCCUGAUGGAGCGACGCCGCGUGGAGGAUAAGGUCUUCGGAUUGUAAACUCCUGUCAUGCGAGAACAAGGUACUCAGGCUAAUAACCUGAUUGUUUGAUGGUACCGCAAGAGGAAGAGACGGCUAACUCUGUGCCAGCCGCCGCCGUAAAAC